rnacentral:rRNA from 1 species
AUACGUAGGGUGCAAGCGUUAUCCGGAUUUAUUGGGCGUAAAGAGUUUCGUAGGCGCCCUGUUGCAUCUUGUCUUAAAUCCCAAAGCUUAACUUUGGAGCAGGACAAGAGAUGGGCAGGGUAGAAUUAGGUCGGUGAUGCUGGAACUCCCAAUGGAGGGGUGAAAUCCGUUGAUAUUGGGAAGAACACCGAGGGCGAAGGCAGGCAUCUAGGCCUUAAUUGACGCUGAUGAACGAAAGCUAGGGUAGCAAAAGGGAUUAGAAACCCUAGUAGUCC